rnacentral:rRNA from 1 species
GGUUUAAGAGCUUGCUCCUAUGAAGUUAGCGGCGGACGGGUGAGUAACACGUGGGUAACCUGCCCAUAAGACUGGGAUAACUCCGGGAAACCGGGGCUAAUACCGGAUAACAUUUUGAACCGCAUGGUUCGAAAUUGAAAGGCGGCUUCGGCUGUCACUUAUGGAUGGACCCGCGUCGCAUUAGCUAGUUGGUGAGGUAACGGCUCACCAAGGCAACGAUGCGUAGCCGACCUGAGAGGGUGAUCGGCCACACUGGGACUGAGACACGGCCCAGACUCCUACGGGAGGCAGCAGUAGGGAAUCUUCCGCAAUGGACGAAAGUCUGACGGAGCAACGCCGCGUGAGUGAUGAAGGCUUUCGGGUCGUAAAACUCUGUUGUUAGGGAAGAACAAGUGCUAGUUGAAUAAGCUGGCACCUUGACGGUACCUAACCAGAAAGCCACGGCUAACUACGUGCCAGCAGCCGCGGUAAU